UUUGUCCUGUCCUUUACACUACCCCUUCUUCCUGUUCUCUUGUCCUGCCCAUGCCAGCUCCACCAACCAUAGAUAACCACAAUCACUCCUCUUUGUCCUUCCUGUCUCAAUCUUGGCUGUGAGGCUGAUGAAUUUUUUUUUUUUUCCUUUGCAAAAUCCAUUACCUUGAAAACCUUGACUAUCACCCUUAAGCCCCAGUCUCAUCCUCCUUUCAUUUCUAGAGAUGGUGACUACCUCCCACACCUUGCUGAAGAGCUCUCAGCAGCCUUGUGUCCAUGAAAUCCAGAGGGCCUGAAUCACCCUCUCAGACACCUGAAUACUGGCGCUGCUUUUCUGCUUUUCUGCCUAUUUGGGAUGGAGCAUCAGGAGCUCCACUGUCACACACAGCUCAGAGACACUUCAGUGCUGCUUUGAGGCCGUGAGGGUCACACUUUCCCCCUGGCUGCAGCAUGUAGAAGCUGAGGUUCCACUCACAGCCCAUGAAAGUUGCAGGACCCCUGCACAUGUACAGAGGAAGAAUUCAUCCCAGAUUUUGUAGUCACAGGACCCCUGCACAUGUAGAGGAAGGCUCCAUCCCAGAUCUGCUUUUCCAAUGGUGCUUUUCAGCAAGGACCCACACCAGCAAUUACCCAGCUCUCACCUUAAGCCAGGGAAUCACGAAGAUGGAACAUCACAGUUGAGCACAGCCUGCCCUAUUAUGCUUCUCACCUCAUUUUUCAACUUAUGCCCCUCCCUGUAUAAUUUGGUGGUAAAUAAAUGCCUGGACAAAAUA